AUACGGAGGAUCCGAGCGUUAUCCGGAUUUAUUGGGUUUAAAGGGUGCGCAGACGGCCAUUUAAGUCAGCGGUUAAAUCGUGGGGCUCAACCCCAUUCUGCCGUUGAUACUGGGUGGCUUGAUUGCGGUCGAGGUUGGCGGAAUUCGUUGUGUAGCGGUGAAAUGCAUAGAUAUGACGAAGAACACCGAUUGCGUAGGCAGCUGACCAGACCGCAAAUGACGCUCAUGCACGAAAGUGCGGGGAUCGAACAGGAUUAGAUACCCUGGUAGUCCGCACAGUAAACGAUGAAUACUUGUUUUCGGCGAUAUAAUGUCGGAGGCAAAGCGAAAGCGAUAAGUAUUCCACCUGGGGAGUACGCCGGCAACGGUGAAACUCAAAUGAAUUGACGGGG
rnacentral:rRNA from 1 species